rnacentral:rRNA from 1 species
UACGUAGGGUCCGAGCGUUGUCCGGAAUUACUGGGCGUAAAGAGCUCGUAGGUGGUUUGUCGCGUUGUCCGUGAAAACUCACAGCUCAACUGUGGGCGUGCGGGCGAUACGGGCAGACUGGAGUACUGCAGGGGAGACUGGAAUUCCUGGUGUAGCGGUGGAAGUGCGCAGAUAUCAGGAGGAACACCGGUGGCGAAGGCGGGUCUCUGGGCAGUAACUGACGCUGAGGAGCGAAAGCAUGGGGAGCGAACAGG